UGGGGAAUAUUGGACAAUGGGGGCAACCCUGAUCCAGCAAUGCCGCGUGUGUGAAGAAGGUUUUCGGAUUGUAAAGCACUUUCGACGGGGACGAUGAUGACGGUACCCGUAGAAGAAGCCCCGGCUAACUUCGUGCCAGCAGCCGCGGUAAUACGAAGGGGGCUAGCGUUGCUCGGAAUGACUGGGCGUAAAGGGCGUGUAGGCGGUUUGUACAGUCAGAUGUGAAAUCCCCGGGCUUAACCUGGGAGCUGCAUUUGAUACGUGCAGACUAGAGUGUGAGAGAGGGUUGUGGAAUUCCCAGUGUAGAGGUGAAAUUCGUAGAUAUUGGGAAGAACACCGGUGGCGAAGGCGGCAACCUGGCUCAUAACUGACGCUGAGGCGCGAAAGCGUGGGGAGCAAACAGGAUUAGAUACCCUGGUAGUCCACGCUGUAAACGAUGUGUGCUAGAUGUUGGGUAACUUAGUUAUUCAGUGUCGCAGUUAACGCGUUAAGCACACCGCCUGGGGAGUACGGCCGCAAGGUUGAAACUCUAAAGUGA
rnacentral:rRNA from 1 species